AUGUUUGUAAUUAACGUUGUAAAGCGACUUAUUAAAUGGCGUUACUUGGAUCGAACACAUUCAUGAUGCACGCUUCCGUGAAGAAACUAGUUUUAGUCAAAACUUUUGUUAAAUGCUUUUCUUUUGUUCCAAACGGGUCUUUUGUAAGUUUUAUGAUCCGAAAGUAGUAGAUGUUGAACUUGUAGUUAAAAGACUAUGUUAGUAGUUUAUGUAAUGUUUGGGUUAAAAACUUUUGUAGUCGUUAUGUUGUUCGUUACCAAGUUAAAUGCAGAAUUUUGGU
rnacentral:lncRNA from 1 species